AUCGUCAAUUUGUGAUUAAUCAAUUAAGUUGACAAUCACCUGAAUUAUGUAUAGGAAAUAUCAACAUAAGACCUAAAAUUAAAUAUAAUGCAAACAAUGUAUGGUCGACGUCAGUUGAAUUCCAUUUAAAACCCACAUCAAUGAACUUCUUUAAUACAUGCUAUGAAGACUCGCAGCGGAAGAAAUAAUGAUUUUCAUUUUGUGGUACAUUGCUAUUGCUUACAGCUAUUAUAUGGGAUGGUUACCAAUAGGAGGUAGCGAAUCAGGUGAAACAACUCAAGCAAACCAAUCAAAUGUGACACCGAUAGCACCGACGCCACAAAUGACAGAACCUAAAACCUGACUUUAUUAUGGAAAUGCAUGAAAAAAAAAUGGUUUCAACUUACGUCGUAGGUAUAUCAAGAUUUUAAAACGCUACCCAAGCUAUCCGCGGCCAAAUUGAAUAUGCAUGUGUAGAAACUUCGAAACAGGCCUUCUACUAUGUAUUCAUAAUCUUAAUUUAAAAAGUCUUCAUAAUUUUGAUAAACUACGAAUACAAUAUAGAAGUGAACAUCGUGACUCUUUUAAUAAAAUGAUAUUUU